rnacentral:rRNA from 1 species
GACGAACGCUGGCGGCGUGCCUAAAACAUGCAAGUUGAGCGAUGAAGAUUGGUGCUUGCACCAAUUUGAAGAGCAGCGAACGGGUGAGUAACGCGUGGGGAAUCUGCCUUUGAGCGGGGGACAACAUUUGGAAACGAAUGCUAAUACCGCAUAACAACUUUAAACAUAAGUUUUAAGUUUGAAAGAUGCAAUUGCAUCACUCAAAGAUGAUCCCGCGUUGUAUUAGCUAGUUGGUGAGGUAAAGGCUCACCAAGGCGAUGAUACAUAGCCGACCUGAGAGGGUGAUCGGCCACAUUGGGACUGAGACACGGCCCAAACUCCUACGGGAGGCAGCAGUAGGGAAUCUUCGGCAAUGGACGAAAGUCUGACCGAGCAACGCCGCGUGAGUGAAGAAGGUUUUCGGAUCGUAAAACUCUGUUGGUAGAGAAGAACGUUGGUGAGAGUGGAAAGCUCAUCAAGUGACGGUAACUACCCAGAAAGGGACGGCUAACUACGUG